rnacentral:lncRNA from 10 species
AUCAUUCUCUGAACCACCACUCGGGCAGCAUCCUCUGGGGAGCAGCCACCCACUCUUGGGAGCUCUCAGGCACUUCCCAGAGCUGCCACCUGCUCUGAGCUACCUCUAGAGUAAGUGGUGCUCGGAGGCUGGGAAAUGAAUAUUAAGCUGCCUACCCAACCUAAGAGUAGCUGCUCCCUUUGGAGAGGUGGGGAGAUAAGACUUUGGAUGUGUAGAAUUCUAGGCGUACCUUUCUUUUUGGCCUACGCAUGUAUUUUUAAGGGGCACCUCUUGCUUCCUGGAGCUGCUGUGGUUAAUCAUUAGCAAUAGAAGAUAAAGGAAGUUUAGCAGUAGAAUUAUCUUCUGAGGAUCCCCAAGAGACUGUGAAGGAAAGUCAAAGUCUGAGUGUAACAAAGGAAAAAGGGAAGCUACACACUAAUUGCUCACUGAAGGAGCUAUAACGAAGUCUUAAUUUCUGUAGCUAAAAGUCACUGGAGCCUUUGAUUAAACAAGGGGUUUGAUGGUGAAUAUUUCUCUUAAAUAAAUCAACGAGGGGAAACCAAAGUGGAUAUGCCUUCCCCGACCCAAGAUAAUGUCUGUCCCCUGGGGACCCAACAACCAAAUAACAAAAAGAGGCCUAACUGGACGGUGCCCCAGAAGUGCACCUAUGGGCAGAAACUACAGGAACAAAUUUCUGUCUGUAAGUGGAGGGAAACUCUGAGGGUGAGAAAGCCCUGCAAAUCAAUGGGCAGGAAAUGCAUGUCCCAGAGGUCCAGGCGGAGUCCAAAUGACCACCUGGGAAAAAUGGUACACGUGGUGGCUUAGAACCCUCCAUCUGUGCCUCGUUGUUGAAAUUACCUUACGAUAUUGUUUCUCUAUCUCUUUUUAAAAUCUGACACUGACACUGCAAUCUGUUGUUAAAUAAUAGUUGUGCUUGAAUCCUGAUCAAGUGAUAAGGUUCUGUGCCUUUUAUUCAACUUCUGUGCAUUGCCUGGGCCAGAGUAGCUACUCAUUAGAUGUUGAAAGAAUGAAUAAGCCAAUCAAUCAAACAAAAAACUGAUGGAUAAAUGAAUGAGUGAAUUCAUGAAUGAAUGAACAUGUGAUUCUUACAUCAGAUGGGUAGUUGGACUAGGUCAUUUUCUUCAACCCUGAGGUUCAACGGUUCAGUGAAGUACGAACAGAGAGGAGUCCAUGACUCCCUUCUCUGAUGCUGAGGUCUGGCAGGUGACAGUCCUUUCUCCUGACCUUUCCUUCCAGCAGAACAGCCUGGAGUUCAUGCAGCAGGGGUCCCUCUUCUCCUGGUGGUGACUUCUAACAGAAAGGGGCUGGGGGAGAAGCAGGGGCAGAGAUGCCUUCUGUCACCUUGGAGCUUUUCCAUUCAGGAUGGUUCCCGUUUGUCACGUUAAGCCACAAGACUGGCCUUAUAUACAAGGGCCCUAGAGAGCCCUUCAGUGGUAUGAUUCAUGAGAUGCUAGGGAGAGCACAAAAUAUUGCCUUCUCUGCUGCCUGAAAUCCCACCAUUGUGGGGUGCACUGAUAAUUCCUUUGCAUCUUGAAGGAUGGGAAUUUUAGGAGUUCUCUAGCAUAGUACAUGUAAAUCUGGGAGAAGAGGCAUCUUUAGCCUUCUUAGUGCUUAUCAGCUUUGCCCUUAGCUUGGAAGGAACCCAGCAAGGGGUGCUGGAGACCCACUCUGCUG